rnacentral:rRNA from 1 species
UUGAACGCUGGCGGCAGGCCUCACACAUGCAAGUCGAACGGUAACAGGAAGAAGCUUGCUUCUUUGCUGACGAGUGGCGGACGGGUGAGUAAUGUCUGGGAAACUGCCUGAUGGAGGGGGAUAACUACUGGAAACGGUAGCUAAUACCGCAUAACGUCGCAAGACCAAAGAGGGGGACCUUCGGGCCUCUUGCCAUCGGAUGUGCCCAGAUGGGAUUAGCUAGUAGGUGGGGUAACGGCUCACCUAGGCGACGAUCCCUAGCUGGUCUGAGAGGAUGACCAGCCACACUGGGACUGAGACACGGUCCAGACUCCUACGGGAGGCAGCAGUGGGGAAUAUUGCACAAUGGGCGCAAGCCUGAUGCAGCCAUGCCGCGUGUAUGAAGAAGGCCUUCGGGUUGUAAAGUACUUUCAGCGGGGAGGAAGGGAGUAAAGUUAAUACCUUUGCUCAUUGACGUUACCCGCAGAAGAAGCACCGGCUAACUCCGUG